GGAAUCCACGGCCUAGGUGUGGCGCCCCGGCCGGACUUUCACUUCUGGCCCGCCCUUUUCCCACCUGGCCACGGGAGCGGGUGCCAGUCUUUAAGCAACCUCUCGAUGGGUCCCACGAAGAUGUUUCCAGACCCUUGGAAUGCUAAGUUCAACUUUAGCUAUGUCCCGCGGAGAGGCUGGUGGAAGAAGCAACGAGGUGAUCUUUCCUGCUUGGCAUCCUGGAACCCCGCGACCCUCCUCCUCGCAGGGGUCCCGGGACCCUCACCCUCUCAAGCAGGACAAUCCUACAAACUGGUUACUGCUGUUCUACCUUUCUGCCAGAAUGAAGCACCCCAGUUCUCUGCUGAACACAUGGGCAUGUGCAACAAAGAUUUAAUUUCCUAGCUUCUCCUGAAGCUAGGUAUGACUACAACACUACAUUCUGCCUGAGGAGACUAAGUAAAAUCGUAUGGGACUUCCAAGAAAUGUUUUUAAAGUCAGGGGCAGGCCUUUCUUCAUGCCUUCCUCCUCUUCACUGGCUGGAAUGCAAAGAUCAUGGCAGGAGGCCACGCAGCCAUCCUGGAAGGUGAAAGCCUCAUACUGAGGACGUCAGACAGCGAAAUAACAGCCUGGGUCCUUGAUCCUGUAGACAUCUCCCUGCCCGUCCUGGUCUGUCUGCCUUGACUCCCUUCAUAUGAGAGAAAUAAACUUUUAACUUGUGUAAACCAGAAA